AUAACAACCAACUGAAAAUAGAUAUAAUAGUUCCAAAAGAUAAAUUCAGUGUAAGGUACCGAACUUCUGAAAUUAUGAAGUUACGGUGGAAUGUAGUAUACCGAAAUUUAAUAUAAAAUUUAGUGUAAAUAAAAAUAGUGUGAGAUACUAUUUUUAUUGGACUUAAGGGUGUAAGGUAUAAGUUGGAAAUGACCUGUGCUGAAAUCGGAGCGAAAACAAAAGAUUUAGAAUUUUCUGUGAAAAGCGGGGCUGAUAAAUUAGCAGAAAAUGCACAGUGUCGAAAAAUUAUGAAAACUGUAGAGAAUGUCAGAAUUAUUUUUAUGAGGCUAGAUAUAAAGUUUCAUGUCAUUCUGACACCCGGAAGCUGGAGAAUAAAAUCGAACUACUAUCUGCUAAAGAUUACAGUUCGGUAGAGCUUUCGGUGACCAAAAAUGGUCGAAACUGAAAAGUUAAGAUAUAUUUCUUCUCAGUAGAUUAAACCGAACAUGACUGUCAAAUUUGAGCUCAAACGGAUAUUCAGGGAGCUCCGGCGAAAGAUAUCAGAUUUCGUACUGCCUGAAGUGAAUAGUGUAUGCUACUAUUGGGGUGUUGACUAUAAGUAGAAGCUUCUAGUCUUCUUCUUCUUCAC
rnacentral:lncRNA from 1 species